CAGAUGUCAAAAAUUGCUUGUAUUUAUUUUUUUUAUACGUCCCUAUUCUUACUUGCGUCAAUGGAAGAAGUUUUACCGGAGGGCAAAAAUUUUAGAUUAGUCGACGAAUCAGAGCUUCCAGAAAUAAUCGAAUUCCUCGGCAACUAUUUGCCGGACUCUUUGAAGUUUCAUCAAACUUUAAAGACUUACCUGAACGACAGGGUGUGGGAUUUCCAUUUUUACGUAACGAAAACUUGGCCAGAGCAAGCUGUGAUAUUGCAUUUUCCAGGAAUGACGCGAUCGCCAAACAACAAAUUGUACGAAUCGUUUAGUGUGUUUUGUCCGUGCGAUCAGCUGGACAGUUUAGAGCUGCUGGAAAGUGAGGACGUGCUGAUAGACUGGACGAAGCCGAUUUACCUGAACUACACGCACGCAAGGAUAAUAGAGAAAAUCGAGGAUUUCUAUGGAAAGAUUGGCACCAUGGAAAAACUCUCUGGCGACAUUUAUGGGCUGAUUUAUGGUGCCGAAGAAAAUCUAGUGUUAAAAGAUGAUGAAAACUCAUCAGAGCAGAUAGUUUUUACCGACCAAGCUGAGAUGUUGCAGCUGAAGAAGGAGCAUGCUCAAAUUAUUCACGACCUUUACCCGGCCAAUCAUAUGGAGUGCAUAGAAAUCUUCGAAAAACUAAUCGAGAAGUUGCCUUGCUUCGGAGUGUUUUCUGCUCAAGGCGAUCUGGCCGCAUGGAUGGUCCAAUCUUAUUACGGGGCGAUGUUUUCGAUGCAAACCAGACCGGAAUACAGACGAAAAGGUUACGGAAUCAUAUUGGCGAAGCACCUUACAAAAUUAGUAAGUGAUAGGGGAUAUCUCCCGUUCGUGGUGAUCCGUCCAGAAAACGACGCGUCCAGAUCCCUAUACUCGAAACUCGGAUUCAAAAAAUUAUUCGAAACUUACCGCGCCGUUCUAAGGCCCUACGAGGAGUCCAGAGGAGGCGGCGAGGGAGGAGGAGGUGGAGGUGAACAACAAAUCAAUGGAGACUUAGAAAUUAAGGGAGACCAAUAAGAAUUUUACGGGUUUUUUUCGUUUCUGAUAUAACGCUGCUACGCUUUCAUUUAUUGUUCCCAAGCCAAGAAUCACGAACGUUGUAUUUAUACUCUCUAAUAUUAUGAAUUAAGGAUCUUCUCGAAGUUAGGUUUAAAACGUAGACGGGUUUCAAUGUUAAAGUCUGUUUUGCUUGAGAUUUACUCGAUGAUGCGGGGAAGUACAGAAAUAAUAUUCGUAAAUGCUUUUAAGUCAGAAUCAUUCACGCCGCCCUCUAGUGGAGGCAAAGAAAUCAUUUUUGUUUGCUGCCAUAAGUGUCAACUGUGGUAGUGACAUUGACAGUUUAAUCACAAGGAAGGAACAAGCAGUUUACAGCGUGAUCGUUUGGUCUUGAUGACUUGCUUUUGGUGUCUUUUUCUUAGCUUCUUUUGUCUCAGUUCUGAGUGUACUGCUAAUUCGAGAAAAAUCUUGAAUUUUAUUCUUCCAUAUCUUCUUGGAUAACUCUCCUGAGUCUAUACUCAGAAGCUCUGGUCAUACAACAAUAGGAAUGUUGAGGAGCAGUGGUGUUUAUACGAUUGCGUUGCUUGACGAGGUUAUCUGGCUUACACUGCAGAUAAAUUCAUUUAUUAAUUCUUCCAGGCAAUUGAGAUAAACGCUUAAGCUUCCUGGAUGAAUAAAAAAAUAAGACUGUAAAGAAACUGAAGAACAUUGAAGCCAUUAUCUAGUGUGUCUCUUUCUUUCCCAAAAUAAAUCCAUACUUCUCAUUUAGUUAUUAAUUUUUUAUUUUAGGUAUGUAUUUGAACAACUUUAUCUGCCUGGAAGAAUUAAACAGUUUGUAGAUCAGAAGUGUCAGCUCCAUCUAGUGGAAGCAAAGAUAUUAUUAUUGUUUUCUGUCAUAAGUGUCAACUGUGGUACUGACGUUGACAGUAAUUACAAGGAAGAAACGAACAGCGUACAGCGUCAUCUCUUGGAGGAUGGCCUUCACAACUUGCUUCUGGUGUCUUUUUUGGCUCCGUUUUAUUUUUUGAGUUUAAAUAUUCGAUGUAUGCUGUUAAUUCAAGGAUCUGCUCAUCUUUAAUUUGCAUACUACGUUAUAUUCCUUAUAGUGCUUUCAAUCUUUAAAGGUGCCUGAUAGAUUCCAAAAAAAUCUUGCUUAAAAUUCAUGGACGAAUUCCAAAUUAAUGAAAAACUGAAGAACAGUAAAGCAAUUGUCUAGUGUCCCUCUUUUUUUUCCCAAAAUGAUUUAAUUGCUUCUUCCAGGCAUUUCGAGUCAUUGAAUUUUUAUUCCAGGUACUUAUUUAAACAACUUCAACUGCCUGGAAGAUUUAAACAGUUUAUAGAUCAAAAGUAUUAGCUCCACAGUUCACCACUCAGUGGAAGCUCCAUCUAGUGGAAGCAAAGAUAUCAUUAUUGUUUUCUGUCAUUAGUGUCAACUGUGGUGGUGACAUUGAAAGUUCAAUUACAAGGAAGCAGCUUCAUGUCUUGGUGGAUGGUCUUCAAAACUUGUUUCUGGUGUCUUUUUUUUGCUUCUACUGUCUCGGUUUUAUUUCUUGAGUUACUAUAAGCUUCUCGGUAUUCUGUGUGUGCUAUUAAUUCAAGGAUCUGCACAUCUUUAGUUUGCAUACUACGUUAUAUUCCUUUCGGUGCUUCCAAGCUUUAAAUGUGCCUGACAGAUUUCAGAAAAAUCUUGCUUAAAAUUCAUGGAUGAAUUAAAAAAAUAAGACUUUUUAAGAAACUGAAGAACAGUGAAUCAAGUGUGUCUCUUUUUUUCCCAAAAUUAAUCCAUUACUUCUCCCAGGCAUUUCGAAUCAAUUAUUUUUUGUUCCAGGUACUUGUUUAAACAACUUCAACUGCCUGGAAGAUUGAAACAUUUAUAGAUCAAAAGUAUCAGCUCCACAGUUCACCACUCAGUAGAAGCUCCAUCUAGUGGAAGCAAAGAUAUCAUUAUUCUUUUCUGUCAUUAGUGUCAACUGUGGUGGUGACAUUGAAAGUUCAAUUACAAGGAAGCAGCUUCAUGUCUUGGUGGAUGGUCUUCACAACUUGUUUCUGGUGUCUUUUUUUUGCUUCUACUGUCUCGGUUUUAUUUCUUGAGUUACCAUAUGCUUCUGGGUAUUCUGUGUGUGCCAUUAAUUCAAGGAUCUGCGCAAUUUUUGUUUGCAUACUACGUUAUAUUCCUUCCGGUGCUUCCCAGCUUUAAAGGUGCCUGACAGAUUCCAAAAAAAUCUUGCUUAAAAUUCAUGGACGAAUUACAAAUUAAUAAAAAACUUAAGAACAGUAAAGCAAUUGUCUAGUGUUCCACUUUUUUUUCCCAAAAUGAAUUAAUUUCCUCUUCCAGGCAUUUCGAGUCAUUGAAUUUUUAUUCCAGGUACUUGUUUAAACAACUUUAACUGCCUGGAAGAUUUAAACAGUUUAUAAAUCAAAAGUAUCAGCUUCACAGUUCACCACUCAGUGGAAGCUCCAUCUAGUGGAAGCAAAGAUAUCAUUAUUGUUUUCUGUCAUUAGUGUCAACUAUGGUAGUGACAUUGACAGUUCAAUUACAAGGAAGAAAGAAACAGCAUACAGCUUCAUGUCUUGAUGGAUGGUCUUCAUCUUUAAUUUGCAUACUACGUUAUAUUCCUUAUGGUGCUUCCAAGCUUUAAAUGUGCCUGACAGAUUCCAAAAAAAUCUUGCUUAAAAUUCAUGGACGAAUUACAAAUUAAUGAAAAACUGAAGAACAGUAAAGCAAUUGUCUAGUGUUCCACUUUUUUUUCCCAAAAUGAAUUAAUUUCUUCUUCCAGGCAUUUCGAGUCAUUGAAUUUUUAUUCCAGGUACUUGUUUAAACAACUUCAACUGCCUGGAAGAUUUAAACAGUUUAUAGAUCAAAAGUAUCAGCUCCACAGUUCACCACUCAGUGGAAGCUCCAUCUAGUGGAAGCAAAGAUAUCAUUAUUCUUUUCUGUCAUUAGUGUCAACUGUGGUGGUGACAUUGAAAGUUCAAUUACAAGGAAGCAGCUUCAUGUCUUGGUGGAUGGUCUUCACAACUUGUUUCUGGUGUCUUUUUUUUGCUUCUACUGUCUCGGUUUUAUUUCUUGAGUUACUAUGAGCUUCUGGGUAUUCUGUGUGUGCUAUUAAUUCAAGGAUCUGCGCAUCUUUAGUUUGCAUACUACGUUAUAUUCCUUAUGGUGCUUCCCAGUUUUAAAGGUGCCUGACAGAUUCCAAAAAAAUCUUGCUUAAAAUUCAUGGACGAAUUCCAAAUUAAUGAAAAACUUAAGAACAAUAAAGCAAUUGUCUAGUGUUCCACUUUUUUUUCCCAAAAUGAAUUAAUUGCUUCUUCCAGGCAUUUCUAGUCAUUAAAUUUUAAUUCCAGGUGCUUGUUUAAACAACUUCAACUGCCUGGAAGAUUUAAACGGUUUAUAGAUCAAAAGUAUCAGCUCCACAGUUCACCACUCAGUGGAAGCUCCAUCUAGUGGAAGCAAAGAUAUCAUUAUUGUUUUCUGUCAUUAGUGUCAACUGUGGUGGUGACAUUGACAGUUCAAUUACAAGGAAGAAAGAAACAGCUGACAGCUUCAUGUCUUGGUGGAUGGUCUUCAUCUUUAAUUUUCAUACUACGUUAUAUUCCUUAUGGUGCUUCCCAGGUUUAAAGGUGCCUGACAGAUUCCAAAAAAAUCUUGCUUAAAAUUCAUGGACGAAUCACAAAUUAAUGAAAAACUGAAGAACAGUAAAGCAAUUGUCUAGUGUUCCACUUUCUUUUCCCAAAAUGAAUUAAUUUCUUCUUCCAGGCAUUUCGAGUCAUUGAAUUUUUAUUCCAGGUACUUGUUUAAACAACUUCAACUGCCUGGAAGAUUUAAACAGUUUAUAAAUCAAAAGUAUCAGCUCCAUAGUUCACCACUCAGUGGAAGCUCCAUCUAGUGGAAGCAAAGAUAUCAUUAUUCUUUUUUGUCAUUAGUGUCAACUGUGGUGGUGACAUUGAAAGUUCAAUUACAAGGAAGCAGCUUCAUGUCUUGGUGGAUGGUCUUCACAACUUGCUUCUGGUGUCUUUUUUUGCUUCUACUGUCUCGGUUUUAUUUCUUGAGUUACUAUAAGCUUCUGGGUAUUCUGUGUGUGCCAUUAAUUCAAGGAUCUGCGCAUAUUUAAUUUGCAUACUACGUUAUAUUCCUUAUGGUGCUUCCCAGCUUUAAAGGUGCCUGACAGAUUCCAAAAAAAUCUUGCUUAAAAUUCAUGGACGAAUUACAAUUUAAUGAAAAACUGAAGAACAGUAAAGCAAUUGUCUAGUGUCCCUCUUUUUUUUUCCCAAAAUGAUUUAAUUGCUUCUUCCAGGCAUUUCUAGUCAUUGAAUUUUUAUUCCAGGUACUUGUUUAAACAACUUCAACUGCCUGGAAGAUUUAAACAGUUUAUAGAUCAAAAGUAUCAGCUCCACAGUUCACCACUCAGUGGAAGCUCCAUCUAGUGGAAGCAAAGAUAUCAUUAUUGUUUUCUGUCAUUAGUGUCAACUGUGGUGGUGACAUUGAAAGUUCAAUUACAAGGAAGCAGCUUCAUGUCUUGGUGGAUGGUCUUCACAACUCGUUUCUGGUGUCUUUUUUUUGCUUCUACUGUCUCGGUUUUAUUUCUUGAGUUACUAUAAGCUUCUCGGUAUUCUGUGUGUGCUAUUAAUUCAAGGAUCUGCACAUCUUUAGUUUGCAUACUACGUUAUAUACCUUACGGCGCUUCCAAGCUUUAAACGUGCCUGAUAGAUUUCAGAAAAAUCUUGCUUAAAAUUCAUGGAUGAAUUAAAAAAAUAAGACUUUUUAAGAAACUGAGGAACAGUGAAUCAAGUGUGUCUCUUUUUUCCCAAAAUUAAUCCAUUACUUCUCCCAGGCAUUUCGAAUCAAUUAUUUUUUGUUCCAGGUACUUGUUUAAACAACUUCAACUGCCUGGAAGAUUUAAACAGUUUAUAGAUCAAAAGUGUCAGCUCCAGAGUUCACCACUCAGUGGAAGCUCCAUCUAGUGGAGGCAAAGAUAUCAUUAUUGUUUUCUGUCAUUAGUGUCAACUGUGGUGGUGACAUUGUCGUUUAUUUACAAGGAAGAACAAACAGCGUACAACGUCAUCACAAGUAGCAGUUAAAUGCAAGCGCACAAAAUAGGGACAGAUGGAAAGGACUGAGGGAGACCUAUGUCCAGCAGUGGACAUUUACGGAUUAAUAAUGAUGAUAGAAGAGGAUUAUACUCAGGAAUUGAAACCAUGCAAAAAUUAUCGUCUAACUAACGUCAGUUUCAAUAUCGAACAACGUUGUCAGUCCGACGAAGGACGCAUGAUUUGACUUUACAUCGGACUGAAAUUAAUAGUUCAUAAAUAAGUAACUAGUCAAGUCUAAUCAUGAUAUUUCUCUGGGGAUAUGUAUUCUGUUCACAGAAAUACGAAUAUUAUUUCUGUAUGGUCCUUUAAAAUGUGGUGUUUAACAGGAGGGUGAGAGCUGCGUGAGCGUUUCGUGACAUAAACACGUCUUAAGUUUUACCGAUCUUUGUCUUAUUAAAACGAUGAAGUUUAAACUAACUAAUUUCCAGUUUACAGCAUAAAAAUUGACAAUUUUUUUAACGAGUCUCCCACAACAUAUGCACCAAGUUUUGCGCUAAAACAACCCACCAAAUAAACGAACUUUAAAAAAUACUCGUUUUAAGGGUAUUUUGUGUACGUUAGUUCUAAACCUCCAAGAAGCUUCAUUAACUUUUUAAGAGCUGUGAUUUGAAUUAUCUUAGACUUUUGCCGCUAGAGGCGUUUUAGGCGUUUAUUAGAAAUUACCAACAUUUCUCUACUUAUUACGUGAAAAAGAAAAGGUGCAUUUUUCUAUUUAAUCCUUUAGUUGUCCCGGUAAUUUGUAUGCAACAGUUUUUGUAUUAAAAUACACUCCUCUGGCGUAUGGAUGCAUUCUGUCCGAUCCGUAUCGAAAUGCGCAUGCUUAUCGCCAGUGGAGCAUAUUUAAUCUAAAAAUUGAAUUUAGGGUGCAUGUUAUUCCUUAAAUAUUUCUUCCAAAUGCUGUACAGGGUAUCCCUCGGAAAUGAUUAUCCUGGAUCAUCUUGUAUACAAGAAAGUUUAAAAGGGGAAUUAGUUUCUUGUCUCGUAGGGCUGUGAACGAUAUUUUUUUCGUAAUCGUGAUUUUUUUUUAGUUUAUCUAUUUGCACGGCAACAAAUUUGGUAAUUGAUAUAAUAAUGGCAAAAAAAUGAUCACACUACGUCGCCCUUAAAUAUAGAGAGUUAUAUGAUUUUUCAAAACAAGGCUGUGACAUUAUAGUAACUAGUUAAAAAUUAGAAAUGAUAAUAAUUUUACGAGAAACUAAUUCCGACUUUAAUAAGAGAGAGUGCCGCUUCGUUUUUUCCCUCUUAUUGGAUAUAUUUAGUACCCUACCUAAUUGCAAAAACUUCAGAGCUCAGAACUUUUGACUUGUGUGCAUACAUAAAUAAAACAUUUACAAAAUC
rnacentral:misc_RNA from 1 species